GAAGAGCACGAACUCCUCCCGGCUCCCUGCAAAGCCCGGGCGCCUAUCCUCACCCCGCCUCUCCCUUCCCAAGGCGGGCUUCAAAGGAGUGACAGCAAAGCGCAGCUCGCAGCUGCGUUAGGACACCCGUGUUGACGGAUCUGCACUAGCGAGUGAAUUUAUCUACCCGUGAAUGCAGAUAAGCAGGCACUUCUUUAUUAUGCAGCGCUGGGGAACACAGAGGGUAUCUCCUCCAAUUGUGCUCCGGUGUUAGUUACAGCUUUCAAGGGCUUUAUACAUUUGCCAACAAAAAGCAUGGAUGAAAUGUCCAUAUUUUAAUUUGCCCUUUAUCUUGAUUGGUUCCUAACUACUAGAAAACUUCUUAGUAUCAUAGUGAUUGGUUAAAUGCUUAUAGAAAGAGACCAGUCCACUCGCCCCAUCCACCUACAUUGGCAACAGCUAAGUUUUUCCUAACAAACACCUGCACCAGGUAUCUUGUGAUUAUCACAUAUGGAAAACUAAAGUAACAAUAGUUAUUGCAUUAAGCGCUUCUUUCAUAGUUUGCCUCACUGUUAAAGGUCGUGUCGCUAUGACAGAGGAAUCAGAUCACCUGGCAAACACUAUGAAGAAAAUGAAGAAAGACCACUUUUUUGCAACUCUUGCUGUUUUUGCAAUUUAAAGGAGUACUUAAUCGUCACGUGAUUAAACUAUUUGCAAGUGCUUAGCUAGUUAAUUAAAUUAUUAGUAAGUGCUUAACAAGUGCUUAGCUAGUUAGUGUGGUGUUAGGUUAUUGACUAAAACAAUGGUUUAUCUGCAACACCCGGACCUUGCCGUCUAUUCAGCGACCCUGAACACAGCGGGGAGGAGGAACUGCGCGGGGAGCGGCCCCUGCUCCGAGGCGGAAGGGUGGGACGUCCCGCCUCCGCCUGCACCGGCCCUCGCCGGCCUCGGGGAAGUGCUGGUGGCGCUGCGGCACGCAGGGGAGAGAUGGCGUCGAGAGCGGACGGAGGUGCUGUGUCGGUACCAGCACAUCUGGAAUGUUGAUCUGCACUUUCGUCCAGCUUUCCUUGGUGGCAUAAUGCAAGCAACUGGUAACAAGCCCCCAGCAAUGUUGCCAAAGCGUGGAGAAUACCUCUUGAAGGAUAUAAAACGGAUGGCAAAAUACUACCAAGUGCCUGUACAAACUUCAGAAAAUAUCCUCGAACAUAUCAAGGGUACAAGCAGUCUUGGAGCCAUGCGCUUUAUCACAGCCAUUGAUAUUACACAACCACAGUACUUGGAACCCUUGUCUAGGGAGUUCUGGAUACGUUUCUGGUCACAGCAGGAAGAUAUCAGUCAGCCAGAGAAUAUAUUGACUGUUGCUGGACGCGCUGGGCUAUCAUCAGAGCUUGCCCAGAAACUACUUGAAAUGAUUUCAUCCCCUGCAGUGAAGAACCGACUGAAAGACACAACAGAAGAAGCAAUAAAAUAUGGGGCCUUUGGGAUGCCUGCUAUUGUGGCACACUUUAACGAGAAACCUCAUCUCUUUUUUGGCUGUGAUCGUUUAGAACUGCUAGCCAGUGUUAUAGUGAGGAGGUGCACAGGAAGCUGGGAGAAAGAAUGGCCAAGACAGCUGACCUAAACCAGCCAAAGGGCUAUUCCAUACCACAGAACAUCGUGCCCAGUACCUAAACUGGGGGAAGCUGGCUGGAAUGGGCAGAUUGCUGCUUGGGCAUUGGUGAGGGGGUGUUGGGAGCCAGGUAGUGGUGGCUGCAUGGUGCUUAGUUGAUGGCUGAUGUUAAACCACAACAGUCACUAAUCCUAAUUGGAAUGUGAUGGCCUGUUUUCUAGUCUCAACUCCAAGGACUUCAACAGAUUUUCCUUUUGUUUCUCUGACUCCCCUGCCUUCCACUCUUCUUACUUCAGCCCCUCAAAAAGGUAGUCCUAAAAAGCAAUGGCUUUACCCUCAUGUGGAGUGCCCCAGACCUGCAGAAUCUCUCAUCUGUGACAGAGGAAAAGAAUUAUUUUGUUUAGUUACAACUGAAGCUGUACAGGGAAGGAUUUACGGAGCUGGCUGAAGGAUGAUAAGAUAUAAACCUCUAGUUACCCUUACCAUCUGUAGUUACCCUACAAAAGAGGAAUAGAAACAGUCAUCUUAUUGCAAAAAUGUGACUGGCCAAUAACCUUUAUAUAUUAAAAUUUAACCUUCUCUUUUGUGCUGGUUUGUC